AGGAUUAAAAACAUCCCCCCCCAAAAAAAACUCGAGGGUUUUCCCCCAAAAGGGUCCCGGUGGAAUAAAAAAGUUCAUUGUCUCUUCCAGAUUUGCUUGGGGUGGUUUUUGGGGGGGGGUCCUGGAAAGGUCGGAGGAUUAAAAACAUCCCCCCCACCCCACCCAAAAAAAAGAGGCUGCACAAACGGGGUGAAAUGAGUAAAAAUGAGGUUCCACCCCCCCAAAAACUCGAGGGUUCUCCCCCAAAAGGGGUCCCGGUGGAAUAAAAAAGUUCAUUUUCUCUUCC